rnacentral:lncRNA from 1 species
AAAAUUGAAUGGAGGAAAUGGGGUUGUGCCCAGGCCAGCAACAUGCCAUCUCCUGUGACGCCGCGUGUCAGUCGGCACUCACUCACCCCGCGGUACCUUGCUACUUCCACAUCGUCAAAAUCGUGAGUGGCAGGCACAAACGAGGUCCGUAUACAGCCACCUACUUUCUAACGUAAUCUAGUUACACACAGAACCCUCCACCGGCCUCAUCCCAUAACGUCAACCUCUCCCCGCGGAUUUACGGGCUGUUCUUCAGGUUCUCCUUGCCGUCCACGAACUUGAUGUACUCAAUCUUGUCACCCACCUGAAGUCGCAAAGGUAUGAAGUACAAGGCGUUAGUUGCGAGCAGUAGAACAGGUUGUAAGCGCUAGCUACACGCCGCGUACACGGCUUGCCGGUAUGGCAAGGGAUGCCACUUACAGAGACUGACCACCACGCCAACCCCACGCAAGCCCCGGCGCACGACACCCUGCCUCCGCCUCGGCGGCACCCUCUGCAACACCUCCAUCCCGCCCCCUCUUCCCUACCUCCCCGCCUCUGCCUCCCUGCCUCGUCCUCCUAGCCACCCGCCACCCCUCACCCAGUGUCUCGCCCCCCUCUCACCCUGAAGUCCGCCAACGCGUCCUGGCCCUGCGUGAUGUAGCCGAACACGGCGAAGCGGCCGUCCAGCAGGUUGGAGCCGGUGGGCGUCAGCUCGCUCUCCUUGAGCAGGAAGAACACCUGCGGGCGGGGGACGCGUAGGCGACGCGGGGCCGGCGGUGAGGCUAGCGGGGGGGGGCACGUGCUACACUGUAGAAGACACGCAGUCUUUGUCAAGGCUGCAUGCAGGAACCAGCACGCCUCGUAGCUCCAUACUUUCCCACUGGUGCUAGACCCGCAGCCGCCGGCACAGGCCCCACCUGGCUGGAGGCGCUGUUGUUCUCAAACUCAUUGCGCGCCCAGGCCAGGGUGCCGUAGGCGUUGAAGGGCAGCACGGGCUGCUCGUUGACACGGCCCAGGUCCUCCAGCGUGAAGUCGUAAAUGGGCUCCUUGUCGCCCUGCACGCGCACCUCGAACGGCACGCUGCAGCCGGGACACAGACAGGGGCGAAAGACCGGAGCAGGCCAAAGGCUUGUCGGUAGUGGUCGGGGGGAUAGCUGUAUUCCAAUGGACGCUCCUGGGUAGGUAUGUGCAUGUGUGCUGGUGCAGCCUGUCAAGUGUCAAACCAGGUCGCGAACUGCGUGCCCCGCCGCACCCCACUCGCGCCCCGCCCCGCCCCACCCAUGCCCCGCGCCACUCUAUCUCCUCCUCCUCACUUGGACACAAGCAAUCGCCCGCGCAAUCGCCCCACCCUCCCACAUCCACAUCCCACACCCCAACGCCCACCCUGCCUCCGCCUGCCUCCGCGCAUUCUCGCCCGCCUGCCCCCCCCCACCCCGCCCCGCCCGGCCCGUCUCACCGGCGGAUCUCGUUGGUCUUGGGGUCCACGUAGCCGUCGGCCGGGCCAUCCGGGUCGCCGGUCUGCACCACAAAGCCGUCGGCGCGCUGCACCUCCAUGCCGUCGUAGAAGCCGCGGGCCACCAGGUCCGCGAACUGGCCGGCCGACACGGGCGCGUUGUAGCCGUCCAGCACCACCGUCUGCGUGAACGUCUGCGGCCCCUCGGGCGUCUGGGCGCACUUGACCUUCAUCUCCAGCGUGGCGCGGCCCUGGGGGGUGGCGGCGGUGGUGUGGCGGUGGGCAGGGGCGGUGAGAGCGAGGUGGGAGGGAUGGUGGUGGGCGGGAAGUGUGUGCGGGCGGAGGUGGGCGGCAGGUGCGGCUCCCGGCUAGCCCCAGCAAGCCUGCACCCGGUCGCUUCUUGCCCACUGCCCAAGCUGCUUCCCCGUCAGCGCGGCAGCUGUUGCACUCGCACUGUUUCAAGAACUCGCCCUGGCCUGACUGCGCGCAAUAUCUAACCCCGGCAGCAUUCGAGCGUCCCCGCCCACUCUGCCACGCUGCCUGGUCCAGCACCGCUGAGCACAGACCCCAUCGACUGCCGCGCCCUGGUGGGACAGCAAGCCUCCGGCCCACGUCCUGCUGCUGCUGCGCUCCCGCGAGUGCUGCUGACAAUGCAGCUCGUGCAGUUGCCUCGCAUGUCACCGGAGCCGAGUCGCAUGGGCGCGCUGUGAAGGAGCGCGUUGCUUGGAGUGGUGCAGGGAGAGUGAUGUCCCCCCCCUCUCGUCUCCCUUCCAAGCCUUGCUGCCGAUGAUAAGCUUAGCUGGCGCCAUGCUCCCUCCAUCCCCUCUUGUCUCAUGCCAGCCCCUAGCCAUCAUCCCAUCAUCCCUUCCUCCACCCCAUCCCAUCCAGUAAACCUCCUGCCCUUCCCGCCCUCCCCUUCCCCGUGCUCCUCGUCUCCACCCCACACCAAGCCCCCUCUCAGCUCCUGCUCUCAAAACCAAG